rnacentral:pre_miRNA from 1 species
UAAAUACUCCUUCCGAUCCAUAUUAAUUGUCUCAAAUUUGUCCAAAUAUGAAUGUAUCUAUGUCUAAAAAGUAUCUAGAUACGUAUAAUAUUUCGAUAAUUAAUAUGGAUCGGAGGAAGUAUGAA